rnacentral:lncRNA from 1 species
UAAAUUUUUCUUCCAAUUCAAGAACAGCUUUUAAAACUUGAUGGAAAUGACGACUAAUUGUCUCGCCCGAACGCCGAAACCAAAAUUUGACUUCACGAUUUUUAACAUUAUGGGUUAAUAUGUAAAUUGUUUUUGCAACUUGUUCUUCCACGCUUGAUCAUCGUGUAGCCUGUAAACCCCCCUCUCUUUCUAACAUAUCACAUAGCCUUAAAAAAGUUUGAGGGCUCAUUCUCAAUAGAUUUCUACUAGUUUCACAGUUACUAAUUCGAUACAUUAUUUCUUCACGCNNNNNACUUAAUUUUCUCUUACGAGACAUCCGAACAUAACAAUAAACAAUUACACACAUAAGUUGAGCUACAGCUCUUCGGCGCAAAUCAAACCAUCUAUUAAUAGCAAUUUCUCGUUCUUGAUGAUCCAUCUAAUUCAAUAAAAUAUUUUUAAGAAAAUAAAUUUCACAUA